rnacentral:rRNA from 1 species
AGUGAACGCUGGCGGCGUGCUUAACACAUGCAAGUCGAACGAGAACGGAUUAUAGCUUGCUAUAAUUGUCAGCUAAGUGGCGCACGGGUGAGUAAUGUAUAGGUAAUAUGCCUCUUACUAAGGGAUAACAAAUGGAAACGUUUGCUAAUACCUUAUACUCCUUAUUAACAGAAGUUAAUAAGGGAAAGAUUUAUUGGUAAGAGAUUAGCCUGUAUUGUAUCAGCUAGUUGGUGGGGUAAUGGCUUACCAAGACUAUGACACAUAACUGGUUUGAGAGGAUGAUCAGUCACACUGGAACUGAGACACGGUCCAGACUCCUACGGGAGGCAGCAGUGGGGAAUAUUGCACAAUGGACGAAAGUCUGAUGCAGCAACGCCGCGUGGAGGAUGACACAUUUCGGUGCGUAAACUCCUUUUAUAUGAGAAGAUAAUGACGGUAUUAUAUGAAUAAGCACCGGCUAACUCCGUGCCAGCCGCCGCCGUAA